GGGGCGCAGUGAGUAGAGCACUUCUAAUAAGGAAAACUGGUGUUCUAAUCAGACCUCGGACGCUUACUAAGCUCUGUGACCCUCAACCUCUAAUAAGGAUGGGAGCAGUUAGAUGGCGCAUUAACACCAACCAAUAUCAAAUCCUCAGGAAGGAUGAAAGAUACUUCUUUAGUGAUGGAGAUGAAGAAAGCUGGAACACUUCAUUAUACAAAUACCCCUUACAGCAGCCCUCUCUCCUGAGGAAGACUGAUGGUACCUGGCAACUUAUAGUGAACUGCACAAAGCUACAUGAAGUCGUCAUAAUCAUCACUACAGCUGAUCCUGACCUCAUCAAUGUUGUAGUCAGGAACAGUAUGUUUUCACCUGGGAAGGCAUCCCUUCAUCAUCCAUCACCACACCUGCCUACCUGAAAUCUCCCUCAUGCUGCCACAUCAUGGUGAGCAAAGACCUGAAAGAGGCUUCCUUUCCUGAGGGCAUUGGUUAACACCACUACAAUGAUGACAUAAUGUUAAUUGGUCUGAUAAGAACAUCUUGACAAAGGCCCUAGAUCAGUUGGUGGUUCAUAUAAAGGACAAGAGGUGGAAGUCAACUCUAGCCUACUCAGUCAAGUUUUGGGGAAUUUGGUGGAAGAGAGUAAAGUGUAAAAAGAUUGAGAAGGUAGGGAGGAACCAGGUUGUAAAGAACUUCAAGUGAUAGAGGAUUUUAGAUUUGAUCCUAGAGGUAUUAGGGAACCACUAGAGCAGGGAUGGGGAA